ensembl:lncRNA
AGCCGACCCUCACAGACGCCCCCACCCCCAUCUCACCCCAGCUCGCUCUCACUGUUCAAGAGGGCAGUCCUUUCGCUUAGUUUCUUCUCGUUGGUCUCAGUUGUGCCCUCGCGGUCCUCUUAUACAAGACACCCUCAAGACAGCCAUCAUGUCAGUUCCCCUACCAUAUACUUUCUAAGCUAAAUAUCUAAAGUUCCUUCAGUUAUCUUCUGUGACAUCUAUCACGAUGAAACUGCUCCUGGUCUCUAUGUCUCAUCUUUGAAAGCCUUUGCUGAGGGAUUUGCCCAGGUACCUUAACUCCAGGGACUUUAAAGAUGAGAAAACUGUGGCUCAGAGAUGCCGAGGAACAUUCCUGAGGUAACGCAAUAAGGCAUGGAAGCUCAAUUCUAACCCAAUUCAGACUCAUAACCUUUAUUUUAUAUUCACAGGUGUCUAAUCCUUCCAGACCUGCUCAGCUGUAAAUUACUGCGUUAGCGCUUAAGAAGGCCAGCCUUGCCUGUUAAACCAGCAUCAGCCGAGCACCUCUUCAUCCUGGGACCAUGACCUGAGUCCUCUAGCUGCCUCAGGCCUAAUUUACAGAGCUGGGCUAUCACUCAAGGUAUAGGGCCAGGAGUGAAGGAUACAAGUCAGAAUUUCUAUAACUGGAGUCAGAUGGGAAUGUGGUCAGAGAAUUAUUUAAUUAUCAUUCAAGGAGUGGAGCAGGGCUUCCCAGGUUAAAGUUCAGAAGCAGACCCUCCAUAGUGGCAGUGAGGAGGCCCUAGAAACUUCUUAGAGACUGCAAAGAAACAGCCAGACAACCUAUUUCGUGUUCACAAGAGAGCCCUGGACCAUGCUUUUACUAGCUAGGUGAAAGGACCAUGAAAUAGUGAAGCCAGUGACAAGGUUAUGACCAGUAUGAAAGUUUUCAGGUUGUCUCUUUAAGUUCAAAGGGAACAAGAAGGCCCUUGCAACCAGCUAAUGGAGAGGUAAGCCCCAGCGUCUCUGGGUUCUCAAUACCUCUUACACUCAUUACUCUCUUGUACUCUCUUGUGGUUGUGGCCCGGCAGCCUGGCAUCACCUGGAAGCUCGUUAAAAAUGCAGAAUUUCAGGCCCUACCCCAGACCAGCUAAAUCAGAAUUUGACUUUUAACAAGAUCUCAGUUGGUUUGUAUCCGCAUUAAAAUUGAAGUAUAGGAGACAAGGAAAAAGAGGAAUUGUUUGAUACAGUUGAGCCUUACUUUAAACCAGCCUGAUACAAAUGACUCUAACUUUCCCAAAGAUUCUACAGUAGCUUGCAAGGCUCUCCGUGAUCUGCCAAGUUCCCUCCCUGCCACUACCCAACUUACCUCUCUGACCUCAUCCUCUUGUCUCUCCCACCCCCUUCCAACUACACUGGCCUACUUACUGUUCUUCAAAAUUCUAGGUAGGCUCCUGCCUCAGGGUCUUUGCACUGGCUCUUCCUUCUGCCUUAAAUGCUCUUCCCCUAGAUAUGGUUUACCACCUUGGCUGGCUCCCUUCGCACUUUGCUCAAAUGUAACCUUCUCAAUGACCAUCCUAUUUAAAAUUGCCACCCAGCUCCAUCCUUCUAACUCUGCACUAACUUUUUUUAUUCCUUAGCACUUGUCACCUUCUAACACGCUACCAAUUAUUUAUUAUGUGUAUUAUUUAACUGUCGCUCCUCACUAGAGUGUCAGCUCCAUGAGGGCAGGGAUCUUUGUUUUGUUCACUUGUGACUACAACAGUGUCUGAUACAUGAAAAGCACUCAAUAAGUGAAAUAACCAAUCAAAGGAGAAUUUUUUAGAAAUGAGUUUAUAAAUUGAUUCUGAUUCUGAAAUCAGAAUACCCCUCUUUUCCCCACAGAAGCAAUUUUAUAGACAAAGGUUGUAUACUCAAAUCAAUGCAUGGAAACCUAUCAAACUCAUAAUUUAGCUAAAAAAUCAUCUUUUGAUAUGGGCACCAUUCAGGGACAAUCUUAGGUAAAAAAUCUAGAGUGACACAUUUAAAAAUUAAAUUAGGGGAAUUCAUAUUUGACUUAAAAGGGAUUAAGCCAAGGGUUACCUUAAACUCUUGUUGAGGGCCCUUUCAUCAUCACUUCUUCCCAAGGUCUUCCAUGAUCACUCCAGACCACAGUAAGCAGCCCUGUCCUUGAUCUUACGGAGGAGCUGUUAACUAUAAUAUAUUCAUUUAGCAAUCAGAAAUGCAGUUUUUGUGCCAGUCCUUGUACAGAAUUACCUCUUAAGCCAGAUAACCACAGUCUGGAAUUCUCUGUAAUCUCAGGGGGAAAAAAAUUAGCUGAAGCAGCCACUAUCCCUCUGUAAACUGCAGAAAUUGAUAGAUUGGCCCACUUCUCAGAGCACUAACAGCUGGACCAAGCUCUGUUGUCCAGAGCCUUAAUCCAGCAUCAGCGUCUGCGUCAUGUAGCGCUCAGCCAUGGCUAAACCACUGCAGGAUUAACGUAGGCUGGCCGCUGCAAACAGUGUUUAGCGUACAACCUGCUUGAGCCUGUUUUCAUCAUGUCAGAGAGACAAGCAGCAGGUAAAGGGAAGCAAAUGUGAGACUAACACCUUAUAUAAAGAUACUCCUCUUCUCCUUGAGAAGCUGGCCUGUGCUACUGAACUGAACUGUUGGUUUUCUUCCGAGGUAUUGAUAUUUAAUUUAUAUGAGACUAUAUCUUGGGUUCCCAGUUAGAUAGUAGACUGUAUAAGGGUAGAGACUGUGUCUCUUUCUUUUAUCCCUCAAAGCACCUAGCGUGGCCCUUGCACAUACUAGUAAUUAUAACCAAAGUUCACAUUUAUUUUGUACUUUAUACAGUACCAUGUUCUAAUUCACUGAAUCCCUACAACCAUGCCAUGGGUAAUAUAAUUAUACAUACACAUACGUGUACAUACACGUUCAUAUAUAGAUAAACUAAUACCUAUAUAUAUCAAUUAGUCAUGAAUCAUUUUCUAUGGGGUGUAUAUGUGGCAUGAUGAUACUAAACAGAAGUGAGUUUCAUUUCAACAGUCCAGGUUGAGAAUAAAGCAUCUUCGUUUGCACUGCAUUUGUCAUGAGCAUUCUAUGACUAUUAUGAAGGAAAUACAAAUUUACUCUCAUGAACUCAGAAAUCUGGAAGCAAUUUGGCCUUUUCCCAAAAAUUAGGCAUUAAAUCCACAGUAAUGUAAGCAUUUAAUUGAUUCUCUUAAAUAGUUGAUCAUUAGCAAAUAUUUAUUAAAAGCUCAUAAAAACACUUUUCAAAAUAUUAGAAUAACUAGUCGUCACUUCUCUGAAAAUUGUACUUCCUCCAUUCCUUUUAAGGUCUGAUUUCCUCCAAUCAUAGAAAUUAACAGGCUGGGAAAAGACAUUCCAGUCAUCCAACCUAUUGCACAGCCAAGAGAACAAUGUUCCCCACCGUCUCCCUGCCGAAGGGCUUUAAGAUCCCAGAUGACAUUUUUUAGCCACAAAGGUUUUCUCUUCCCCCAAGGAGAUAGUUUGAGUCUGUUAGAUCAAACCGUGAGUAUUGCUUCCUAUAAGACAUUUUGCCAACUAACCCUCCCAGAUUUGGAGGAUCAUAGAAAAGGAGUGGCAUAGGGAAUAUUUUUCAAAGCCAAGGAGGGAGAGAAAAAUCUGCCUCUUAAUGGUAAAUUUCAAAAACUGUUUGAAUUUAACAUCUUGAAUAAUAUGCCUAGCUUCUUCCCAGUUCCCACUCACAGCCAAAGACCAAAAUUUUACAGCACCACCUAAGUUAUUCAGUUCAUGUCGUAUAAGUAGCUGUAAAACAUUUUUAAAUAUUGACAGGUGUAUUCUUCCUUCCUGGCAUUUUCUUUUUACCCUACAACAUUUUCACCAUAAAAAUUAGACCUUUAGGCUAAGGCUUUUGUUCUAGAGAAGGGAAAAUACUGAAGAACCCAGCAAGAGCAGAAUUUAGCAACUCAGAUUCUUCACUUUGAAUUUCAAAAUAGGUUCUUGAGAGGGGAAGAUACAAUAGCAUUGAAAGAGAAAAAAAAUUUUUAGCUCUGCAAGAGCAAACCUGGGAGCAUUAAGAGCAUAGAGUUUAUAAUAUAAACCACAAAGGAAGAAAAACAUGCGAUGAUAUACAAGCCAGAUCUCCACCACACAAAGAGGAGACUAAAACCUUUCCUGAGCUGGGGUUGAAGAGCUUGGGGAAAUUUUAGAGAGUACAUUGUUGGUGCAGGAUCUAUAGAAAGGAAUUCUCACAGUUACCCCUCCAGGGGUCAGACCUCUUAGAGAGCUAGUAGAGUCCAUCCUCCCUGGAAAGACAGAAAUCUGAGAGUAGGGAGGACUAGUUCCCGACUUGAAAACUAGAACUCAGACAAGAAAUCCUCUUAGAGGGCUUCGUUCCAUCACAAGGAUAAGUAUUGCCAAAGGAAGGUCUUUGAAUUUUAAGUGUUUUAAGUGAUAAGUUACCUAGUUACUUGAAUUACCAUGUUUAAGUUCAUCUGAACUUUAUAAAUUGCUGCAACUAUGAAAAUUCAUACCCAUUACAAUAACAUUACCUAGACCAGACCCAAUAUCUAAUGGGUUUAAGCCAUGCAAUACCAAAGGCAAAGAAACUUAAGGGACGGGUGACUGCAAAACUCUUUAGAAGAUAAAUGGCAUUGAUAAUUUUAGAAAAUAACAGAGGGUAUUAAAAAGAAGCCUCAUAAAACAUGGUUAUGAUUGCAAAAAUCAAAAAAUUUAUGAAACUCCAAGCACCAAAUAUGAACAUUUUCACUACAAUUUAGGGGGGGACCCUAAAGCAAAAGUAAGUGCUGUCCAAGAAAGUCUUCCAUUGACUGGUUAUGUGUUGAACUUAGAACCAUGGGUGUACCCCAUUUAUGGCAGUUAUUACUUUUAAUAUGUAACUUAGUAAUUUACCAUACACUUGAAUUCCACCUCUGGUUGGGUUAUAUAUGCAAGUCUUUGUCUCCAACCAGAUCAGGAGCUUUAUGAUUUACAAAGGCCGAUCUUGCCUUCUAUGUAAGCUGCACAGUGCCUUCUCUGAAUUACCCCACAGUCAUCCCCCAAUUUCCACACAGCCCUCAUCAAUUUCCAAAACAAAAAUAAGCUGUCCUCAGUCAACGCCUCUACAUGUCAUCUAGUGCAGAGAACAGUAGGUGCAAGGUCUCUCUCUUCCCUACCAUCUCUUUUCAUGCCACUCAGGGAUGUUUUGUUCAUAUUACACCCAUAAGUUUAUUAUCUUUAUUGUUCCCUUUCCUGUAUUUACACACACACUUUUUUAUUGAAGUAUAGUUGAUUUACAGUGUUGAUGUUUGUAUAUAUGUAUGUUCUUUUUCAGAUUCUUUUCUAUUAUAGGUUAUUAUGAGAUAUUGAAUAUAGUUCCCUGUGCUAUACAAUAGGUCCUUGUUGUUUCUCUAUUUUAUAUAUAGUGGUGUGUAUCUGUUAAUCCCAAACUCCUAAUUUAUCUCCCCCUCCCACUAUCCCUUUGGUAACCAUUCUGUUUUGUAAAUAAGCUCAUUUGUUUCAUUUUUUUAGAUUCCACAUAUAAGUGAUAUCAUAGGCUAUUUGUCUUCCUCUGUCUGACUUACUUCACUUAGUAUGAUAAUCUCUUGGUCCGUCCAUGUUGCUGCAAAUGGCAUUAUUUCAUUCUCUUUUAUGGCUGAGUAAUAUUCUCUUGUAUGUAUAUAUCACAUCUUCUUAUCCAUUAAUCUGUCGAUGGACAUUUAGGUUGUUUCCAUGUCUUGACUGUUAUAAAUAGUGCUGCUGUGAACAUUGGGGUGCAUGUAUCUUUUCAAAUUAAAGUUUUCAUCUUUGCCGGAUAGCUGUCCAGGAGUGGGCAGCUCUAUUUUUACUUUUUUAAGGAAUCUCCAUACUUUUCUCCAUAGUGGCUGCACCAAUUUACAUUCCCACCAACAUGUACACACACACUCUUAACAUCCUUGUGCCUUCUCUUUUUUUCCCAACAACGCAUUAAUAGUACAGAAAUAUUCUACAGAAAGAAGUAAAGUUGGUAGAUUUUCACUUGGAAGAUUAAUUGGGAAGAAAAGAUCUCAACAGGACUAGGAUAUGAAACUUGGGAUAUCCCAGGGAAAAAAAGUCAUUAAGAAAGGACAACAUGGAAAACAGAAACUGGAAUCACCCUCAUUUCAUAUAAUCUAAGAUCCCGCAUGGGUUACACAGGGUCCUGAGAUUGAGGAAGGCCAGGAUCUUCAUGGAGGAUGACCAGUACCUGCAGGGAGUUGGGGUCUUAGGGUGGGGGUGGGGAAGUGAAUCCUCUUAUAUCACCCAGCACAUCUCACACACCAGCCAGGUAGCUAUAGGGAUGAGAAGACCCCCCCUCCCCUUAUCAAACGAGCCAUCAGUUUUCAUGAAGCUAGGAGUUUUCAUCAAAGACAUGGGGAAAAUGAACAAAGAAUGUUACAUUGAAUUUUAAAUUAAUAGGCAAGCAUUCUGCAGUUAAAAUGUUCAGUUAUAUGUUGCAACCAACUAGCACCCAUAAGCAUGAGGUUUCGUUGUUCCAUUUCCUUUUACCUGGACUAAUUUAACUGAAGAUACUCCUUGUCUUCUAGAAUGCCUGCUUUGGUUAUUCAGUCUGUGUUUGUGUAAUAUCUGACGGCAAUAAGAUACUUUAAAAAGCACUCAAAAUUAAUAGUC